rnacentral:tRNA from 1 species
CAUUAAAUGACUGAAAGUAAGUAUUGGUCUCUUAAACCACACUAUAAUAAAUUAACAACUAUUUUUAAUGA